rnacentral:rRNA from 1 species
UACGAAGGAUGCAAGCGUUAUCCGGAUUCAUUGGGCUUAAAGGGAGCGUAGGUGGCCUUAUAAGUCAGUGGUGAAAUCUCGCAGCUCAACUGCGAAAUUGCCAUUGAUACUGUAGGGCUUGAGUACAGUUGCUGUGGGCGGAAUAUGACAUGUAGUGGUGAAAUACAUAGAGAUGUCAUAGAACACCGAUUGCGAAGGCAGCUCACAAAACUGUAACUGACACUGAGGCUCGAAAGUGCGGGGAUCAAACAGG